rnacentral:lncRNA from 1 species
GUCCGUCCCAAUUUGGACCGGUGUAAAAUAUGAUAGAAAUCGAUAAAAUAAUAAGAUAAUAAUAAUUUUAAAACUUCCAUGUAAAUAUAUAGCCCCAUUAAAACCAUAAAUUAAUAAUAUAUCUAUAUAUAUUUUUAUAUAAGUACAAACUAAACAUUAUAUUAUUGGUUUUAUAUUCACAAUGAAAAUACAUCUAUUUUUCUUAACAUUUUACUAUAUUUUGAUGAUAUUUAGUAAAAUUAUAUUGAAAACCACAUAACAACAUAAAAAUAUAUACCAAAUAAGAUAAUUAAACAAUAUGAAAGUCAAAUAUUUUAUUUUUUUAUAAACAAAAUAUUCAAAAACGGGAUACAAUCUAAAAAAGGAAACUUUGGUAAAUUAAUAUCUCUAUAAAUUAAUAAAAUUCUAAAGUCCCAACAUUAUUAAUUUAUAGAAGUUUUACUGUAUAUAAAAACCCCACUAAGAGAUUAAGCCAAAUAAAAUAGAAAUCCUAAUGUAAAUAUAAAUCAUCCUAG